GACGAACGCUGGCGGCGUGCCUAAUACAUGCAAGUAGAACGCUGAAGGAGGAGCUUGCUUCUCUGGAUGAGUUGCGAACGGGUGAGUAACGCGUAGGUAACCUGCCUGGUAGCGGGGGAUAACUAUUGGAAACGAUAGCUAAUACCGCAUAAUAGCAGUUAUUGCAUGAUAACUGUUUGAAAGGUGCAAUUGCACCACUACCAGAUGGACCUGCGUUGUAUUAGCUAGUUGGUGGGGUAACGGCUCACCAAGGCGACGAUACAUAGCCGACCUGGGAGGGUGGUCCGCCACACUGGGAAUGGGGCACGGCCCAGACUCCUUCGGGAGGGAGCAGUAGGGGAUCAUCGGCAAUGGACGGAAGUCUGACCGAGCAACGCCGCGUGGGUGGAGAAGGUUCUCGGGUCGUAAAGCUCUGUUGUAAGAGAAGAAAGGGUGUGAAGGUGGAAAGUUCACACUGUGACGGUAUCUUACCAGAAAGCGACGGCUAACUACGUG
rnacentral:rRNA from 1 species